GCCACAUGAUGCUACACAGACGGCAUUAGCAUUAGUGCGAAGAUGACCUCGUAUCUAUCACCCGAGUCUGAUGGCU